rnacentral:misc_RNA from 1 species
GAUGAAGAACGUAGCAAAAUGCGAUAAGUAAUGUGAAUUGCAGAAUUCAGUGGAUCAUCGAAUCUUUGAACGCACAUUGCGCCCGCCAGUAUUCUGGCGGGCAUGCCUGUUCGAGCGUCAUUUCAACCCUCAAGCACAGCUUGGUGUUGGGACUCGCGUUAAUUCGCGUUCCCCAAAUUGAUUGGCGGUCACGUCGAGCUUCCAUAGCGUAGUAGUAAAACCCUCGUUACUGGUAAUCGUCGCGGCCACGCCGUUAAACCCCAACUUCUGAAUGUUGACCUCGGAUCAGGUAGGAAUACCCGCUGAACUUAAGCAUAUCAAUAAGCGGAGGA